GAUAAGUUCGCAGCGCCACCUAUAGCACCUCUAUGCCAAAAAAUUUUUGGCAUUCCAGUGAUAAAGGGCGAUAAGCCCAUGUCACCUCGCCUAUAACGGUGUUCUGGAGUCCGUGUCGCCUAGCCUGGAGUGACCCUUUUAAUUUUGUACACCUUUAAAUACAACCUUAUUUUUCCAAUUCCUUUUCAUAGUCAAUCCUAUCUCUCUCCGCCCUUCAAUUCCCUUAGCCAAAAUUCUUCAAAUUAGGGGUUUUCUCUCAAAGAAAGAAGUACUACCACUUUAUCUCCUUCAUCAUUUAAAAGGUAAGUGCUCAUUUCUUUAUUCUUUUAAUUGAUAUGGUGCAUGAAAUAAUUCUCUUAGUGCUUUGAUUAAAGAUUUAGUAUGAUUUUUGCCAUGGGAAUAUGAAGUUGAACAUUUUAAACUCUGAUGAUCAUUAGUUUGUGCUUAUCCUUUGCUAUUAGUGCCCUAUUGUUUUUGAUUUUUUGUGGUUGAUCUCAUGUAUGGGUUUGUGUAAAAUAAUAAAAUGUUAAAUUAGUAUGGUUAGUAUUUGACCUUGCCUAGUUUGUGGGUUAUGUUAUGAGAAAUCAAUUUUUUCAUCUGAACCUGUACUGCAAAAGGAAAUUUAUGAGUCAAUGUGUUAAUGUACUUUUGCCAUAUAUGUUAUGUACUAUUUAUUAUGAUGUGGUUAAAAUGUAAAUAAAAAUGCAUGCUUUAUUGCUUGAAAGAAAGUUGUUGAGCAUUUUUUGUGUUAUGGGGUGCUCUAACACCCUCAAUUCAUGUAAGCCUUGUUCUACUGUGUGCUUUGGGUACCAAUUUCCUUCUUUGAUGAGAAGUAGUGGACCAGUGCUGCAAUAUUGAGUUUGUUCAUCCAUAGUUAUGUAUGAUGAUAUGAAUGUCUUUACGUGUUAUAAAUGAAUUAAAAGAAAAAUGAAUGCUUUUGUUGCAAAUAUGGGAAAUUUUGCUUGUGUUUUUGCUGAUUGAUAAUUGAGGGAAAGAAUGAGUACCCCAAUUUUUCUAUCAAAGCAUUUGUACUAGCAACUAAGUAUGGGGUGUUCAACACCAAAACACUUAGUUAUUUCUAGUUCAACAUUUUCUAAUUGAUUGAUAUAGUUGGUUCCUAUUUUGCUUCAACGGGAAAUAUGUCGGGUAAGGUAGGAUCUUCUAAGCCAACAAGAAAAAAAAGAAGACCAAGUAGUAAAGCAUCGCAGCCCCCAGCUGUUCGACAUGGGCAAUCAAGAAUGUAUGGCAUUAGUGAGGUGUUGGAUGCUGGUUUGAAAUGGUAUUCAAAGCAUGAUGAGUCGAAGUAUACAACUAAAUAAUUCAUUCAUAGAGAAAAUCUACUAAAGAGUUUCCCCACAUUGUACGCCAGAUAGAGGAAUUACAUAUGGAUUUCUUGUUUUCACAACCUUAUGAGGGCAAUCUGAGCCUCAUAAGACAAUUUUAUGUUAACUGGGACCCACGAGAUUGAAACGAAGAAGUCAAAAUACGAGGAAAGGUUAUCCCAUUCAAUGCUCAUUAAUUGAAUGUUUUUCUCGGGAAACCUAAAGUUGAUGCUGAGCCCUUGAAGAUGAUGUAUGUAGAACCACCAUAUUCUAAGAUCCACCAUUUGCUGUGUGGCAACCACUCUACAGCAAGAUGGACCUGCAAUAAGGAAAAUGGCGUUCACCUUACAUUACCCUUCAGUCAAAUAAAUAGGGAGGCCCGAAUCUGGGUAAAGAUUAUCUACACUUGUCUCGUAUAGGCAACACACCUAACUGAUGUGCCACGUGAAUAAGUAUGCUUUAUCUGUGCCUUAAUACAUGAUGAUGUUGAUGUGAAUAUAGGUGCACUCAUUUUCUCAGCUAUGGAAAAAACACAUCUUCAUCUGGAGAAUAGGUUUGGUUUUGGGGGUUUACUGACCAAAUUUUUACGAGAUCAGGGAGUACUCGGGGAGGACCUAGAAUAUAGGUUGCCUGUGAUCACCAGAUCUUUUGGUGUAUCCCACAUAAAGGGAGGUCCUGCUUAUGGUGCUACAUUGACUAUGCCCAAGUGUCAGGCUCGAAAUGAUGAGAUUACUUCUCGGAUAUACGGGAUACAGAUGCUUUAGUUGCGGGAUUGUGGGCACGCAACAACCCAGCAGGAGAUUAGAGUGGUAGAGCUGGACUAUCCUCUUGGUUAUCAUGCGAGGACCAUGCUAUGGAUCAGUCUAUAUUUUGUAGAGAUGGUUGAUGACAAUAUUCCCAGAGAUGAGGAACGGAGGUUGUAUUAUUCAGAUAAUGAACAGAGAAGGAGGAGGAUGCUAUUGAUGAUCUAGAUUUGGGAGAUGAUGAUGUUGAUAUAGGCAUGGAUGGCAUGUGAUCAGGGAAUCCCUCCCCACCUCAUACUAUACUUAUUUUGCAAGCUCUGGGAUAGUCCUUUCUUUUAAGUGUAGGGUGGUGGAAGUCUCAUUCUUUCUACUUAUUUCUAUUGGAUAAUUUUAAUUUUUACUUUUGGAUGUUUUAUUUUGAUAUGUGAAUGUUUAAUUUAGCAUUCUAGCAAUUUGGAAUACUACGUCUGUAAUAGUUAAUAAGUUGAAAGUAUUGUUGCAAUUUGCCCUCAAGGCACUUUUUGCGUAUUGCUUCAGUUUAACAUAUUUAUUUUCUCCCUCCUUUGCAAUUUUAUCAUAGUUAGUUGCUCUCCCCUAUGAUAAAUAGAUAACAAGUAUUUUAAGAGGAGUUAGUCUUUAGAAGUUGAGAGUUGAUAAGAACCUGAUUAUGACUUUUGAGAAAUGCUUUAUGUUGUGCCAUAUUUUUAGUGACUGAACUAAUUUGUUUUGGAAAAAAAGGAAAAAUGAGUUAUUUUUAGCUAAAUCUCAAUAGGUGUAAUAUGACUUGUUGGCUUAAUUUUUAAUUUGACAAAGAUCAAGAUUAGGAACCAUAAGGAUCCGAUUUGAUUCCUUGCAUGCACCAUGAGUGUGAGUACUUGUUUAUAUUUUACAUGUAUAGGAAUGUCUAGAACUUUCUUGAUUUGUUUACAAAGCGAAAUAAAGGGUGUUGGGUGUAGGAAGUGGUUUAAGCAUUUCUUUGUUAGACGAAUUUUAAAUACUUUAAUUACCCACCCUUAUACAUAUCCCUAGUUAGCCAGUUGAGCCUAUAGCCUAAUUUCUUUGGUAACCUCAUAUGUAGCCUAAUACAUCUCCUAAGUGCUUAGUAUAGAUGAUUUAAUGAGUAGGGAGUGUGAAAUUGAAGUAGGAGAAAGGUAAAAGUGAAGCCCCAAGGAAAUAGUUAUUUGUUUGUUUAACUGUAAUGGUUAGGAGUUGUAGAAAAUUUGAAUAAGUUUUUGUAGCCCGAUUUUUGUUACAAUGAACCUAUUUUGGCCCUACUUCACCUCGGACAUUGUGCACCUCAACCAAGGUGAAAAUAUUAGGUAGAGGAUGGAUAUUAUAGGGGUACAUAACAGUAAAUGGGUAUGAAGAAGAGCUGAAAAGUGAAUCGCGAUGUAAAAGAAAUAUAUACUCCUACCAUAGUUUAUAUGAAUGACUUUAUAAGAGUUGGGAUGAAACAAAUGAUGUUUGGAAGUAAUAAAGUGAAAAAAUAAGGUUGAUAGAAUGUGAUUUUGAUUAAAGGUUGACAUAUAUUAAAGCACUUAUGGAGAUUAGUCACUAUUUUCUAAAUAGUUCCUACCCAUCUCUUAGCCUACAUUGCAACAAUGAAAGACCUAAUUGAUCUUACAUUUCAACAUCCAACUAUUAGUGGAGUAGUACACUGAGGGCAAGUUUAUGGUUCAUUAACUAUCAUGUAUGAAUUCUUUGUUAAGAGUGAAUGAUUGAAUUUUGAUAUCCCCCUCAUAAGAAAUAUUGAAAAAAUUAUGAGUGGUAUGGGGAAACUUUCUUGUUGUGAGGGUUCAUGUGGAUGAAAGUCUGGAAUACUUAUUUUGUUGUUUGACUGAGUGCUUUGAUUAAGAUUGCCGAUAAAUCGGAUGUCACUAUUGAGAUGAUGAGGUUUGAAACAAUUUGGUCAUGUGCAUAAAAGUAUACUGGACAUAUUUUGAGAUAAAGAGUCAUUGUUAUAAAUUGUAAAUUCCCAACACAAACAUUAAUAUUAGGUUGUAAUGUGGAGCAUAAUUAGGGUGUAUGUGUGUGAUUGUAUGAGGACGAAUAAGGUUUUAAGUGUGGGUGGUGAUCUUGGGUGUAUUUAUAUGUCCAAUCACCAAUAUUCACCCAUAUUGGGACUUGUUUUGAGAACCAAAAUAUGUUAUUCUUAUUGCAUUUACUCCUUAAUUGUGUUCCAUAUCUAACCGAUGUGAUUAGUGAUACAGGGUAGAUUCAUGAUGGAUUUGGACAAAAUUUGAAUACCCAUUAUGAAACAAGUGGUGAUUGAUGUUAUAAAUUGAUUAUAUGGAGUAUUAUGGACACAGGACAAAGUUAUACAGUAAGCGUGGAAGGUUGGAUCAGGUAGCGGAGCAAUGAGCUAAAAGGAACAAGUGUUGUACCUUUAAAAAUAUAGUGAAAAUCGAAUUUCCAAUGGUGCAGGGCCAUAUACCCACAAUGCAGGCUCCAAAUCCGGGCUCCCAGGACUUGGAAAAAUUUCUCCUAGUGAUAUCCAGUGGACCAAGAUGAUAAGCCCACGACGCCUCAGUUAUAUCGGGGCUAUAACCAGGGCGGCGCCUCAGUUGGAGCGGCACUAAAGAGAAGGCAGCGCCUAACUUGGAGCGGGGCCCCUAGGACUUAAAGAAAUUUCUCUAGGUGAAUUCCAAUGGAUUAGGGCGAUAAGACACUAAUGCCUUAGUUGGAGAGGUACUACAGAUAGGGUAGAGCCUCACUCAAAGAAGGGAUACAAACAAGGCGAUGUGGGCUCCACUCCGCCUAGGCUAAUUUUUUUCCAAUAUAAAAGGAACAUGUGAACACAAUUUCAAUCACUUUUUGGCAAGCAUAGCAGUGGCGAAAGAGCAUAAAACUCUCUCUUUUAGGGUUCUUAGAUAUUCUUUUGAACUUAUUUACUUCAAAUUAAUUUUGGG
rnacentral:lncRNA from 1 species